rnacentral:rRNA from 1 species
UACCAGCUCUCCGAGUGGUAGGGAUGAUUAUUGGGCUUAAAGCGUCCGUAGCCGGCUUAGCAAGUUUCCUGUUAAAUUCAGCGACCUAAUCGUUGAGCCGCGGGAAAUACUACUAGGCUAGGAGGCGGGAGAGGUCGACGGUACUUCUGGGGUAGGGGUGAAAUCCUAUAAUCCCGGGAGGACCACCAGUGGCGAAGGCUGUCGACUAGAACGCGCUCGACGGUGAGGGACGAAAGCUGGGGGAGCGAACCGGAUUAGAUACCCGGGUAGUCCCAGCUGUAAACGAUGCGGGCUAGGUGUUGGGGUGGCUACGUGCCACUUCAGUGCCGCAGGGAAGCCAUUAAGCUCGCCGCCUGGGGAGUACGGCCGCAAGGCUGAAACUUAAAGGAAUUGGCGGGGGAGCACCACAAGGCGUGAAGCUUGCGGUUC